AGGAAAUCUGGCGAUGAGGUUCGCCUUGGUAUUUACCUAAACUGUCUCAUUCGAGACUGAUAACUUCUAUUUUAAG
rnacentral:ncRNA from 2 species